CAACGCCCGACCAUUACACAAGCUACCGUCAAAUACACGUAGUGAGUACGUUGCAUCGUGCCUUAGACCGAUAACAGGGUUAACGUUGUCCCUUGACAAUUAUUCGUACACGAGUCCACAUAACAGCGUGCAUUAUACGAACGCUUUGAUAUCUGUCAUUGGUAACGCGACGCGCAAACGUCGUGUUGUUGUGCCGUGUAUAAGUCUGUUCCUCCGCAGCCACACGAAUGAUAACGAGCUUGUCGCGUGUGUUUGAUUCACCGCGUUGGCGGAUACGAGUCUAGUGAAUUUGGCCAGACCUAUGUCACUCGAUACACAAAAGCAUUUGCUCAAUUUACGAGCUUGCAUGGAAGCUUCCUGCGAGUUAAUCGUUGAUAAAUAGCCGGUGAAAGAAGAGAGUACAAACGACUGUUUGAUUGAUUAUUUGCAAAGUGUAGACACGUAGGAUAACUUAAUUUCCAGCAAUGGAUUAUACGAAUUGGAUAAUUACAGCGAUUGAUAAUUACUUUGCCAAUCUUUUUUCACAACUCUUUUGCAAAAUUGUUUUUGCAAAUUCGUAGAUUGUGUAUUUUUUUUUUUUUUUCGUUUAUUUACGUCAAAUGAUAUUAUGUAGAUCUCUUUUUCCAUCUCGAUUUAACAAUCUUACUCGCAAUAAGCAAUCUCGCAGCACUAUUUUCACGUUAUUGGUAUUUUUAAUGCAAGCUUUAUCCUCUUGACGUAAAAUCGAUAAUGUUAACCCUGAAAUGGUAUACCCAAGUUUUUUAUCGUGUCAAGAUACGAAUUUUUCAAGAAACUGUAAUUAUACGUAUCAUGUCGAUAUGUAUCUUGAUAAUCAAAAAUCAUCGUUUAUUUAUUAAAAUAAUGAAAAUUGAUAUAAUAUUAAAGAUAAAUCAAUAAUCAAAAUAAUAGAGGAAGAUAUAGAUAUUUAUAAAUGUUAAUAUUUAUCUCGAAGUUACUCCAUUUUACUUAGUUCCAGCAAUAUCCUUUCAUGAGGGAGAUCUAAGCACAAGGCUAUGCUAUGCACGUAAUCAGCAAUACGUAUAUGCCGUGAUUGAUUAUGGAACGCAUAGGUAAUGCAAAUGUUAAAUAGAAUCAGAUUCAGGACCCCUAACAGGACACAUGCUAAUGCUUAAUGCAUUAAGGAACCUAUUCAUCGUAUAAUUAUUUGUCUAUUAAGAAAUAUUAAGUGAAUCUUCUUUCCAGAGAAAGGAUAAAUAAAAGUAUCUGCACUGAAAAUAUACCAAAUAUAAAAUCAUUAUUUAAGUAUGAACUAUGAACUAUUCCACUAAAUUGAAAAAUAAUGUAACAUUAUCUUUUGAAACCAAAUAAAAUAUUGUUAUUUAAAAAUUUCAAUAUUCUUCUUUUAAAGCGUCAAUGAAGAGAGUCUAACUAAUUCAAAUUACCAAUUAUAACCAGUCAUAUCAAUUUUUGUUAUUGUAUCAUAAACUGAAAUGAAAUAAAAUAAUAUUAAUUGCAA